rnacentral:rRNA from 1 species
AUGAAGAUCUUCACUCAUGCUUUGUAUGCAAACCCCAAGAGGAGCAAUGAGGAGUUACUCAAGCUGCACAGCACCCUGCGGGCUUUGCCAACAUCAUUCCACAACAUCGCUAAGGUGAUGUUCAAGUUCUCUUACAAUGAUCUGCCGAAAGAAUACAAGUCAUGCUUGUUAUACCUAGCUAUCUUCCCUCCGGGAUACAAGAUUAGACGGUCAACCUUGAUCACACGGUGGGUUGCAGAAGGGCUGACAUCCAAGGAAGAUUGGCCCAGUUCUGUGUGUCAGGCCAACCGAUGUUUUGACGCACUUGUUGACCGGUGCCUUGUUUAUCCUGCUGAUAUUGGUGCCACGGGAAAUGUAAAGAGCUGCGUCGUAGGUGAUCCAGUUCAUGGAUUCAUUACCGCCAUCGCCAGAAAACAACACAUGGUGGAGACACGCCUGUCACAUCACUUGGCUCGCCACUUCUCCAUUUUCAAUGAAAUACAACUCCGCAGCUCUGAUAAAAUUGACAAAUUCUUCCAGGGGAUCUCUAAAUCACCUCGAGUAUCCCUGCUCAAGGUGCUAGAUCUAGAAGGUUGUCCUUACCUUGUUGGGAAGAACCAGCGGUACCUCAAGGACAUCUGCAGCAAGAUGUUACUGCUCAAGUAUCUCAGCCUCAGGAGAAUAUGUAUUACCCAGCUACCUCGUGAAAUCAACAACCUCCAUGAGCUAGAGGUAUUGGAUAUCCGAGAAACUAAGGUGCCUCCACAUGCAACAACAAAUAUCCUGUUGUUGAAGCUGAAGCGUCUGCUUGCGGGUCACAUUGACCAGAAUACAAGCAAUUUUGGCUCUAGUGGUCAGAUUCCUCGUAGGAUCGACAAAAUGGUUAACAUGGAGGUACUAUCUAAUGUCAAGGCCCAGCAGAGUCAUGAUUUAAAAGAAGUUGGAAAGCUAUGGCAACUGAGGAAGCUAGGUGUGGUUAUCGAUGAUAAGGAUAGUCACCUCAGGAAUUUUCUUCAGACGAUCAGUGACCUACAUGAGUGCCUCUGUUCUCUCUCAGUCACUACUAUUCCGGCAGCCACACCACACGAGGGUACUCCUUCCAGUGCAGAGUUACCAGGUGGCAUUGCCUCUCUCUUAGAAAACCAUCCCAAGAUUCUUGAGAGUCUAAGCAUCAGGGGAGCCACACAGAAGGGGCGUCUUCUUCCAUUAUUCAUAAAAGGUGAUAAAAACAAACUUGCCAAGGUAACUCUGGGUAGCACCCUGCUGAGCCAAGAUGAUCUGGUAGACCUUGCCAAGCUGCCCAAGUUACAGUUUAUCAGGCUCCAACACAUUGCAUGCACCGAGCCCAUGCUCAACUUCAAGAAGGGUGAAUUCAGUUGCCUCAAGUACCUUGUUGUUGAGGGCUCGGACUUGACUGAUAUCACUUUUGAGGAUGGAGCAGCCCCUGAGAUCGAGAAGAUGGUUUUGUCUUUCACCACCACAGGUUCUAUUUCUGGAAUUGACCGGCUUCCAAAACUGAAAGAGCUUGAGUUGAAUGACAGCUUCUGCGGCAGUUUGCUAUCUUCAUUUGACAAGGCCGCACACAUAGCCAAGCUGACUCUCCGUGGUACAUUGCUAGAGCAAGAUGCUCUACAAAUACUCGCCAAGAAACCAAGUAUACGCACUCUGGUGCUCUUGGAUAAGUCUUUUAGCGGAGGACAGAACGAGAUUACAUUAAAAAAAGAUGAGUUUUUAUGGCUCAACGUUCUUGUUGUUGACUGCUCAGCGAUCACCAAGAUCGUCUUCAUCUGUGGUUCUGCUCCUAGGCUCGAGAAGAUUGUCUGGUCAUCUUUCACAACUCUCUCCGGCAUUGACAAACUUCCUAGAUUGAAGGAGCUCGAGUUAAACGGUGGCCAGGUUCCUGAUGAGGUGAGAGAGGCCAUUGAAAAACAUAAAAACAAGCCUAGUCUUAAACUCAAUGGCCCAGAAACCCAAGACUAA